rnacentral:rRNA from 1 species
GUUGACCUCGGAUCAGGUAGGGCUACCCGCUGAACUUAAGCAGACGAGUCGAGUAGUUUGGGAAUGCUGCUCAAAACGGGAGGUAUAUGUCUUCUAAAGCUAAACACCGGCCAGAGACCGAUAGCGCACAAGUAGAGUGAUCGAAAGAUGAAAAGCACUUUGAAAAGAGGGUUAAACAGUACGUGAAAUUGUUGAAAGGGAAGCGCCCGCGACCAGACUUCGGGCCCGGCGGAUCACCCGGCGUUCCUCGCCGGUGCACUCCGCCGGCGCCCGGGCCAGCAUCGGCUCGCCCGCGGGGGAUAAAAGGCGGCGGGAACGUGGCCCCUCCGGGGGUGUUAUAGCCCGCCGCGCAAGGCCCCGCGCCGCGGGCCGAGGACCGCGCCCCAGGCAAGGAUGCUGGCGUAAUGGUCGCCGGCGACCCGUCUUGAAACACGGACCAAGGAGUCGUCUUCGUAUGCGAGUGUUCGGGCGUCAAACCCCUACGCGCAAUGAAAGUGAACGCUGGUGAGAGCCCUCGCGGGCGCAUCACCGACCGAUCCUGAUGUUCUCGGAUGGAUUUGAGUAAGAGCAUACGGGGCCGGACCCGAAAGAAGGUGAACUAUGCCUGUGUAGGGUGAAGCCAGAGGAAACUCUGGCGGAGGCUCGCAGCGGUUCUGACGUGCAAAUCGAUCGUCAAACAUGGGCAUGGGGGCGAAAGUACUAAUCGA